rnacentral:rRNA from 1 species
GUUUGGAAUAUGUGGAAACGCCUUGCUCCAUCCCGAACCAAGAAGCUAAGCACAUCGUGGGUGAUGAUACUACGCCUUACUGGCAGGGGGAAAGUAGCUCAUUGCGGACU